CAGGACAUCCAGCGACGGGAGCAGCCAGACCCGAGCCCUAACCGAGCUCCUAUCACAGCUGCCCUGGGGAAUCCAACACAUGUUUCUGUACGCGAUCACUGACAAGAUACUCUCAUGCAAGGUAUUUCCGAACACUCACAAGGUUCUCAUUAGGAUCUGCACAAAGCUGGGAAAGAAGGACUGGACCAUUUACUUUACUGUGGCUGAGCGGGUUACAGAGAUUUCACUAGAGAAUCCCAGCAAAGCUGUGCUGAGGGAAUGCUUGGAUUUCCUCAAGCUGCUGUGGGAGCUUGGAACAGAGCA